AAACUUUACAAUGCAGGAAACUGUGAUAAGGGAACCCCGAGUGCCCGUAUACGCGGGCUGUCCAGGUGUCUAAAACGCAUCUGAAGAAAGGGCCGGGCAAGACCGGUGCCAGCCGCCGCGGUAAUACCGGCGGCUCGAGUGGUGACCACUUUUAUUGGGCUUAAAGCGUUCGUAGCUGGACUCUUAAGUCUCUUGGGAAAUCCCGCGGCUUAACCGUGGGGCGUUUAAGAGAUACUGAGAGUCUAGGAACCGGGAGAGGUAAGAGGUACUUCGGGGGUAGAAGUGAAAUUCUGUAAUCCUCGAGGGACCACCGAUGGCGAAGGCAUCUUACCAGAACGGCUUCGACAGUGAGGAACGAAAGCUGGGGGAGCGAACGGG
rnacentral:rRNA from 1 species